GCGGAGGAAAAGAAACCAACAGGGAUUGCCUCAGUAACGGCGAGUGAAGCGGCAACAGCUCAAAUUUGAAAUCUGGCCUCACGGUCCGAGUUGUAAUUUGUAGAGGAUGUUUCGAGUGUGGUCCGGUCUAAGUUCCUUGGAACAGGACGUCAUAGAGGGUGAGAAUCCCGUAUGCGACUGGGUGCCUAAUCUCAUGUGAAACUCCUUCGACGAGUCGAGUUGUUUGGGAAUGCAGCUCAAAAUGGGUGGUAAAUUUCAUCUAAAGCUAAAUAUUGGCCAGAGACCGAUAGCGCACAAGUAGAGUGAUCGAAAGAUGAAAAGCACUUUGGAAAGAGAGUUAAACAGUACGUGAAAUUGUUGAAAGGGAAGCGCUUGCAACCAGACUUGCACGCAGUUGAUCAUCUGGUGUUCUCACCGGUGCACUCGAUUGCGUUCAGGCCAGCAUCGGUUUUGGUGGUUGGAUAAAGGCCUUGGGAAUGUAGCUUCUUUCGGGGAGUGUUAUAGCCCUCGGUGCAAUGCAGCCUACCGGGACCGAGGACCGCGCUUCGGCUAGGAUGCUGGCGUAAUGGUUGUAAGCGACCCGUCUUGAAACACGGACCAAGGAGUCUAACAUCUAUGCGAGUGUUUGGGUGUCAAACCCAUACGCGUAAUGAAAGUGAACGGAGGUGAGAACCCUUAAGGGUGCAUCAUCGACCGAUCCUGAUGUCUUCGGAUGGAUUUGAGUAAGAGCAUAGCUGUUGGGACCCGAAAGAUGGUGAACUAUGCCUGAAUAGGGUGAAGCCAGAGGAAACUCUGGUGGAGGCUCGCAGCGGUUCUGACGUGCAAAUCGAUCGUCAAAUUUGGGUAUAGGG
rnacentral:rRNA from 1 species